CCAUCGGUGGUUCAGUGGUAGAAUGCUCGCCUCCCAUGCGGGCGGCCCGGGUUCGAUUCCCGACCGAUGCA